GCGUAAAUGCGGAAGAGAUAAGUGCUGAAAGCAUCUAAGCACGAAACUUGCCCCGAGAUGAGUUCUCCCUGACCCUUUAAGGGUCCUGAAGGAACGUUGAAGACGACGACGUUGAUAGGCCGGGUGUGUAAGCGCAGCGAUGCGUUGAGCUAACCGGUACUAAUGAACCGUGAGGCUUAACCUUAC
rnacentral:rRNA from 1 species